ACUUCCUUUGUGGUGACAAAUGUGUAUGGACCUUGUGACCAUGCUUCUAAAUCAGAUUUUCUAGACUCUCUCAUUCCGCUAUCUCAAAUGAUUAAUUGUCCUUGGAUGAUUAUGGGGGACUUUAACAUUGUUUUAAGACCGUCCUACAAAUCUUCAGCAAAUUUCAACGCUAAUGAAGCCAGCAUUUUCGCUUCUGCAAUCAACUCCUUGCACCUUCAGGAAGUUCCUCUCUUGGAUAGGCUCUACACUUGGUCCAAUCAAUAG
rnacentral:rRNA from 1 species